CCAGGGUGGAAAGCAAGGGCUGGCAGGCUCUGAUGGUGUCACCUGUGAGGGCUCAGCCUGGCUGCUGUGUGGAGCACAGGUGGAGACCC